GCAGAGUAAAUGUGUAUGCGUUAAGUGUCGGGUGAACGGGGAGUUGUCAUCUGAACGAAAAGAGUAGUCUCUUGCGGCAUACAGAUUGCAUCCCGCUG
rnacentral:ncRNA from 1 species